CCUACGGGAGGCAGCAGUCGAGAAUCAUUCACAAUGGGGGAAACCCUGAUGGUGCGACGCCGCGUGCGGGAAUGAAGUUCUUCGGAUUGUAAACCCCUGUCAUGUGGGAGCAAAUUAAAAAUAUAGUACCACAAAUGGAAGAGACGACUAACUCUGUGCCAGCAGCCGCGGUAAUACAGAGGUCUCAAGCGUUGUUCGGAAUCACUGGGCGUAAAGCGUGCGUAGGCUGUUUCGUAAGUCGGGUGUGAAAGGCGGGGGCUCAACCCGCGAAUGGCACAUGAUACUGCGAGACUAGAGUAAUGGAGGGGGAACCGGAAUUCUUGGUGUAGCAGUGAAAUGCGUAGAUAUCGAGAGGAACACUCGUGGCGAAGGCGGGUGCCUGGACAUUAACUGACGCUGAGGCACGAAGGCGAGGGGAGCGAAAGGGAUUAGAUACCCUGGUAGUC
rnacentral:rRNA from 1 species